rnacentral:lncRNA from 1 species
UCCGCUUUUAUAGUUUCUUCGUUGUUGUAUUAAUAAAAAUUGCAAAGGAAAACUAUGAACUAUAUGGAACUAACGGAGAAAGAAAAGUGGUAUGGAAAAAGAUAAAACACUAACAAUAAAACCCACAUUGGAAAGCCCAAAUUUAGAACACUGUAUGCAUAUAUCUGCAAGCCUUCUACAUGAUACAUAUCCUUCAAUAAGCUGAUGAAUGUUUGUACUAAAUUACAAAAUCAUCUGCGAGUUCCCCACGCAAUUAUAAGCACAUUUGAUACCACUACCAAGUCUUUAUAUCUAUACUAAAAAUUGAACAAAAUAACAAAAGCAAAAAAAAAAAUUAACACUAAAUUAAUCGGCUAUAUACAUCAAAUAUACAUACUCUAACCAAAUGAACUAUACCACCGGAGAAAAAGAAGAGACUUCUAUGCCUAAAAGGAGAGAGAUAAUUAAUUGAAUGAAGAAAAGAAAGAAAAAAAAAAUCAAACACAAGCAUGGCCACCACCGUCACAAGUGCAACCACCGUUACCAGAGAUAAUAUCACUAUCUUGUCUUGGUUUGGUGCUGAGGCAACAACACAUAAGAGCCACCACCAACAUGAAUCCCCAUGCUGAAGCCAAAGCCUGUGCCCAGCUCAAGUAAUGCUCCAUUAAUUUAAUUUUCCUUCUUAAAAAUCACCCUAAUUAACCUAGCUAUCUCUCUGCCUUGGAUCUUCAGCUAGCUCCUUAAUUUCUUCAACUAAUAUGAUAAAUGUCAUCAAUAAUAUGAUGUUAGUUGAGACAUGAGUUAUUAAUUAGCAUAGGGUGCAUGGUAUGAUAUGAUAUGGUAUCUACCCUAUGGGGGAAGAGAAUAAUGGUAUCAACUGAGAAGGUGAUAAUGAUGAUAAGAGGUUUGAGUGAGACAUGGUGUCGCACAUGGUAUGAGCUUGAAAGAGUCCGAAAUAAC